rnacentral:tRNA from 1 species
GCUUGUGUGGCGGAACUGGUAGACGCGCACGACUCAAAAUCGUGUGGCCUUUGGUCAUGUGGGUUCGAUUCCCACCACAAGCACCA